CAGUAGCCGCGGUAAUACGUAGGGUGCAAGCGUUAAUCGGAAUUACUGGGCGUAAAGCGUGCGCAGGCGGUUCUAUAAGACAGAUGUGAAAUCCCCGGGCUCAACCUGGGAACUGCAUUUGUGACUGUAGAGCUGGAGUGCGGCAGAGGGGGAUGGAAUUCCGCGUGUAGCAGUGAAAUGCGUAGAUAUGCGGAGGAACACCGAUGGCGAAGGCAAUCCCCUGGGCCUGCACUGACGCUCAUGCACGAAAGCGUGGGGAGCAAACAGGAUUAGAUACCCGGGUAGUCCCUGUCUCUUAUAC
rnacentral:rRNA from 1 species